CAAAAGUAAAAUAUUUUACCAAAUCUGGUCACUGCAGAAAGUAAAAUAUUUUACCAAAUCUGGUCAUUUCCGGCCCUCGAGUGUUUCACGCGCGCGUUCACGCAAGUUCUCGCAAGCGACUUUCCGUGCUCAUUGCUCAACAGAGCUCACGUGCCUUUGUUUUUGACUUGGCUUUUGACAUCACAUCUUUCACUUGUAUUUUUCUCAAGAAUUUUAAUAGGAAUUUUAAUCUGGUAUAAUAAUCAUGCGCUGCUGUAGGCGUGAAUAUUGUUCUUUAUGUUUAAUAACUCUUGGAAUUGCACUCACAUUAUCAAUGGUUGUUUGUGUUCUGGUGGGAGCCUUCGAUAACCUGAUAAAAGACACGAUACGAAAG